AGCUCUGUAAGCGUAUACCCAAGUUGUUGCAGUUAAAACGCUCGUAGUCGGAACUUGGUGGGUGAGACAGGGCGUCUUCGCGGACGGUCCUGGCUUAACUGCCUUUGUGGAGGGGGGCUCGUUGCCACUUAAGUGAGGUGACGUUGUCGCUGCCACCGUUUACUGUGAAAAAAUUAGAGUGUUCAAAGCGGGCGUUUGCCAUGAAUACCUUAGCAUGGAAUAAUAGAAUAGGACCUUGUUCUGUUUUAUUGGUUUGUGAGAACUGGGUAAUGAUUAAGAGGGACGGUUGGGGGCAUUUGUAUUCCGGCGUCAGAGGUGAAAUUCUUGGAUUGUCGGAAGACAAACGGCUGCGAAAGCGUCUGCCAAGGACGUUUUCA
rnacentral:rRNA from 1 species